AGGGGGACAACAGUUGGAAACGACUGCUAAUACCGCAUACGAUCCAAUCUCGGCAUCGAGACUGGAUGAAAGGUGGCCUCUAUUUAUAAGCUAUCACUGAAGGAGGGGAGUUGCGUCUGAUUAGCUAGUUGGAGGGGUAACGGCCCACCAAGGCGAUGAUCAGUAGCCGGUCUGAGAGGAUGAACGGCCACAUUGGGACUGAGACACGGCCCAG
rnacentral:rRNA from 1 species